rnacentral:tRNA from 1 species
AGUUGGAUGGUGCAAUGGUACAUCAUCUUGGCCUGUUUCUCAGACAGGAGACCGCUGGUUCGAAUCCGGCAAAAUCAAACUA